AGUGAACGCUGGCGGUAGGCCUAACACAUGCAAGUCGAACGGCAGCACAGUAAGAGCUUGCUCUUACGGGUGGCGAGUGGCGGACGGGUGAGGAAUACAUCGUAAUCUACUUUUUCGUGGGGGAUAACGUAGGGAAACUUACGCUAAUACCGCAUACGACCUACGGGUGAAAGCAGGGGAUCUUCGGACCUUGCGCGAUUGAAUGAGCCGAUGUCGGAUUAGCUAGUUGGCGGGGUAAAGGCCCACCAAGUCGACGAUCCGUAGCUGGUCUGAGAGGAUGAUCAGCCACACUGGAACUGAGACACGGUCCAGACUCCUACGGGAGGCAGCAGUGGGGAAUAUUGGACAAUGGGCGCAAGCCUGAUCCAGCCAUACCGCGUGGGUGAAGAAGGCCUUCGGGUUGUAAAGCCCUUUUGUUGGGAAAGAAAAGCAGCAGGUUAAUACCCCGCUGUUCUGACGGUACCCAAAGAAUAAGCACCGGCUAACUUCGUG
rnacentral:rRNA from 1 species